rnacentral:rRNA from 1 species
UACGUAGGUGGCAAGCGUUUGUCCGGAUUUACUGGGCGUAAAGAGCGCGCAGGCGGUCGAUCAAGUCGCGUGUGAAAGCCCCCGGCUCAACUGGGGAGGGUCACGCGAUACUGAUCGACUCGAAGGCAGGAGAGGGUAGUGGAAUUCCCGGUGUAGUGGUGAAAUGCGUAGAUAAUCGGGAGGAACACCAGUGGCGAAGGCGACUUCCUGGCCUGUUCUUGACGCUGAGGCGCGAAAGCUAGGGGAGCAACGGG